GACGAACGCUGGCGGCGUGCUUAACACAUGCCAGUCGAGCGAGGCCCCUCCUUCGGGAGGGUGUCCUAGCGGCGAACGGGUGAGUAACACGUGGGCAACCUGCCCUCAGCUCUGGGAUAACCCCGGGAAACCGGGGCUAAUACCGGAUACGACCUCCACGGGCAUCUGCGGAGGUGGAAAGUUUUUCGGCUGAGGAUGGGCCCGCGGCCUAUCAGCUAGUUGGUGGGGUAGUGGCCCACCAAGGCGACGACGGGUAGCCGGCCUGAGAGGGCGACCGGCCACACUGGGACUGAGACACGGCCCAGACUCCUACGGGAGGCAGCAGUGGAGAAUAUUGCGCAAUGGGCGAAAGCCUGACGCAGCGACGCCGCGUGAGGGACGAAGGCCUUCGGGUUGUAAACCUCUUUCAGCAGGGACGAAGCGAAAGUGACGGUACCUGCAGAAGAAGCACCGGCCAACUACGUG
rnacentral:rRNA from 1 species